UACGUAGGGUGCAAGCGUUAAUCGGAAUUACUGGGCGUAAAGCGUGCGCAGGCGGUUUUGUAAGUCUGUCGUGAAAUCCCCGGGCUUAACCUGGGAAUGGCGAUGGUGACUGCAAGGCUAGAGUUUGGCAGAGGGGGGUAGAAUUCCACGUGUAGCAGUGAAAUGCGUAGAGAUGUGGAGGAACACCGAUGGCGAAGGCAGCCCCCUGGGUCAAAACUGACGCUCAUGCACGAAAGCGUGGGUAGCGAACAGG
rnacentral:rRNA from 1 species